rnacentral:rRNA from 1 species
AUUGAACGCUGGCGGCAUGCCUAACACAUGCAAGUCGAGCGAGCGGCGGACGGGUGAGUAAUGUCUGGGAAACUGCCUGAUGGAGGGGGAUAACUACUGGAAACGGUAGCUAAUACCGCAUACCAUCAGAUGUGCCCAGGUGGGAUUAGCUAGUAGGUUGGGUAACGGCUCACCUAGGCGACGAUCCCUAGCGGGUCUGAGAGGAUGACCAGCCACACUGGAACUGAGACACGGUCCAUAUUCCUACGGGAGGCAGCAGUGGGGAAUAUUGCACAAUGGGCGAAAGCCUGAUGCAGCCAUGCCGCGUGUGUGAAGAAGGCCUUCGGGUUGUAAAGCACUUUCAUCGGGUAGGCGUUACCCGCAGAAGAAGCAACGGCGAACUCCGUGCCAGAAGCCGCGGUAAUAG